GCGGACGAGGAAGUGCGUGCGGCGGCAACGGACUGUGGAUUAGCGUGCUGUAAAUGUUUAUGUUCAGGACAUCAGGUCGGAAGAGAAACUUCUGAGUCUUGCUUUUAUGAUGCUGAAGUGUUUGUUGGCAUCCUGGAACUGUUGUUAGAACUAAAGAAGAUCGUAGAGUUUAGCUUUUGAUGAUCUGCGGGAGAAAUUAAUUCCAGAGCUGGAGAGGACUUGACGUAGGCUGUUGGCGGACCUUUUGAAAUGGGUAGAAUCAGUGUAUUAACGGCGGUAGAAUGAAGAGAUGAAGUCUGUGAAGAAGACUGAUGAGGCGCAGUUAAACGGGCGAUCCUGAGCGUGGAGGAGAGAGUGGUUAUCCGCAGCGUGGUCUGUAUGAGCGCUCAGAAAGAGCAUCCGUGUUUGGAUCUGUGAGAUCCGAUCUUACGCGAGAUGUGACUGUUGGUGUCACGGGGAAAGUUCGUCGUCUGAAGGGGGAUGGUGGAAUUUCCGUGGUGUCGGACAUCGUUCAGUACGGCACUACCGGAUGCUGAAACAGCUGAGACUGAAGAGAGGCUUAUUCGAGAUGAACUACACCAGCCUGUCACUGGCUGGCGGGAUCUGACGGUUGCAGGCGGGGGAGGAGUACAGAAACGGCCAUCAGGCGGCAGACGAUGUUUGCAGCACCACAUGAAGUCAAACAAGCCUAUUGCAUCAUUGUGUUCAUUGUUUUCAGCUGUGUCUUGUUAAGUUAUGAGUCUUUGUGUAAAUAUAGCGCUCAUGUUUCCAUUGUUUCUUGUCUAGCUUUGUUCUCUGUAACUUCUGUUAGUGAGUUUUAUGUUUAAUGUUCAUGUUCAAGUUUAGUUUUUCAAGUCGAGCCAAGUCUUUGUUUAUUUUGUAUUUGUUCACGCUUUGAUUAAAUAAAAACUGAACUUGGG